UUCCGGCAUAGCUCAGUUGGUAGUAGCGCAUGACUGUUAAUCAUGAUGUCGUAGGUUCGAGCCCUACUGCCGGAGU
rnacentral:tRNA from 1 species